rnacentral:lncRNA from 1 species
GCCUGACCAACAUGGUGAAACCCCAUCUCUACUAAAAAUACAAAAAUUAGCCGGGCCUGGUGGCACAUGCCUGUAAUUCCAGCCACUCAGGAGGCUAAGGCAGGAGAAUUGCUUGAACCCAGGAGGCGGAGGUUGCAGUAAGCCGAGAUUGUGCCAUUGCACUCCAGCCUGGGUGACACAGUGAGCGAGACUACAUCUCAAAAGAAAAAAAAAAGAAAAAAAAGAAAAGAAAAUGCAGCAUUUCAAGUAGGUGGGAACAUGUAAGUUAUUCACUAAGUGGUGUGCAACCCAAUAGCAAUUGAACUUGACCCUGAGCAAUGGAGCAUCACUGAAGGAACUGAAGAAGGGGAGUAGUAUUUUUUAAGGGAAAUAGCCCCCACUAUGAUAUAAAACAAGGGUGGGCAAACUUUAUCUGUACAGGCCAAGAUAGUAAAUAUUUUCCACUUUGUGAGCCAUCUGGUAUCUGACUCAAAACUUGACUCUGCCAAAAUAGCACAAAAGCAGCCACAGUCCAUAUAUAAAUGGAUGGACAUAGCUGUAUUUGAAUAAUAUUUUUAAAAUAAAAACCAGCUGCAGACUAGUUUUAGCCAGUGCUACAAUUUGCCAAUCCUUGGUAUAGAAGAUAAUCUUGACUGGAGAGAUUCAUGCUCUGCAUGGUUGGUUGAAUGAAUGAACUAAUUAUCCAUCUGGGUGAAAAUUGAGACAAUAUGCAUGGCCAAGCACUUGGACAAAUUUCAGGUGGAACUGAGACUUAAAAGGAAAAAAUGGAAAAUGCCUACUCAACAUGAAGACAGUGAGGAUGAAGACCUUUAUGAUGAUCCAUUUCCACUUAAUGAAUGGCAUCAACCAUGAGCUUGUUGAAGAGGCAUUUGGGGGUAGCGAGGAGCAGAGAGAGAACUUUCCAACCACACUACCUGCGUUUUUGAAAGGCUGACAUGGCUCUUGGUUCUCAAAUCAGCCUCAAAAUAGCCUGAAAAGCCUGGAGUCCACUCACAGAAGAGCAGACCUCCUCCGGUAUGCACCAUGCUGACAGCACCACCUUACACACUCAGGUGUGCAAAAACCGGCGCGGGGGACAUCUCACACCUUAUGUAGAUCAAAUGCUCCUUCCCUGAUCCUCUGUAGGGAACUUCCUUUUCUCUAAUCCUAGAUCUUUUCAAAAAUUCUAACCAAAAUAAAAUUUAAAAAGAAG